rnacentral:misc_RNA from 1 species
AUUUUUUCUUUAUAACUUCCUCCUCCUUCCUAGAUGACGACAUAGAUUCUUCAGAUCCAACAUGGCCAUCUCCAUCCACUCGUUCGGUCUCUUUGAUAUGCUCAGACAUGAUUAACUAGUAAAUCUCAGUUAAGCACGCCAAUAAUUAUAAAAUUGCAGCCUUUGAAGCUGCGAAAAUGGCGAUGGGGGAAGUAGGAUGAAGACGAU